UGAUUUCUAAAUAUUUAUAAAUGCUUUCUAAAUUCAAAUUUAGGAAGCUUUUUUGACUUUUCAUGAGUGAGUUUUACAAAUUUAAGAAUGUCCUCCUAAAUCGUAUGUUAACCCAUUACUAUUUGAUCAAAUGAAAAAGAUUUUAACUUGGUACUUAUGUCUUUUGUAACUUUUCACUUAACUUGGAUAUAUAAUGAAUCCCUAUCAUUACACAGAGACCCCAUGUCAUAUGCCAUAUCAGAUUGCUUCGGGAAAAUUUAUUUUCUUAUAGCUUUUCAACUUUAGUGGAAGUGAGAACUUUAGCAUCAAUCUCUGUGGUUAAACUGACUUGUGUCCGAGCUUUAACAAGCAUUCAGAGUCAAUAGAUGUAAUUCUCCACACCACCAAAGUUUGGGAAGAAGCUCCAGUGCUGCAAGAUGCAACUUCAUAUAUAUGAGCAGCACUAACUAGAAAACAUAAUUCUAGUUAAAAGACGUUUCUUCUAGUAAUCCCAACACUAGAACCCUAAAUCAAUAUUCAAACCCUACAAAUGACGUUCUUAAUAGAUAUAUCAGAUAAGAAAAGUUUUAGGAAGAUCUUCCUAAAUAUGUAGGAAAGUUUCCUAAUUUAUUUAGAAAGAAAUUCCUAAAAAAAGCUAGUGUAUUGCAAUGUCAUCCCAAAAGCAGCGGCAUGUCCUUGGAGGAUCGUCUCAUGUCCAAGGAGGAUCUGUGAUACCACAAUUCUACAAAUAAUCCGCAUGACCAAUUUAAGUUGAAGAUAAUCACCGGAAUUUUUGAUUUCCAUAAAUAUUGAAACAAGAUCGAAAACUCAGAAUUUGAUGAGAGAAGUAAAAGUCAAUAGAGAACGAACCGUGAAGGGCCUAUAAUUAGUAGUAAUCCAUGGUAACGAUCUCCUUGGAAUCGCGAAUUUGAUGAUAGAAGCAGACUAAGAAAACAUUUGUGGGGAAAUUCUGGAGAUGGUGUUGGUGAACUCUCUGAGGGGUUUCAGCUUCAUAUCCAGUAGAGCGACGGCGAGGAGAGAGAGAGAGAGAGAGAGAGAGAGAGAGAGAGAAUAAGCGAGAGAGAGAGAGAGAGAGAGAGAGAGAGAGAGAGAAUAAGCGAGAGAGAGAGAGAGAGAGAGAGAGAGAGAGAGAGAGAGAGAGAGAGAGAGAGAGAGAGAGAGAGAGAGAGACGAGUC
rnacentral:lncRNA from 1 species